UUUUUAAUUUGUUUCCAAUUUAGUUUAAUCUAAGUUUUUAAAAUCAAAAAAUAUUUUUUUUAAAUAUUGCAUUAAAAGGGUAUAAACCUGCUUACUAAAAGGGUGUUGCCAAGGAAUUUCAAUUUGCAUAAAUUUGGUCCAGAUUUGCGUACAAUAGAAAAAUGCUCUGAAAGAAACGCAAAACCAUAGACGAAGAGGCAAAUGGCGGGCAAAGAGAAACAUGAUGCAGUUACAGUUGUUUGCAGCUCAACAAGUAGCCGCAUAUUAUAACAACAUUAACAACAUCAACCGAAGGAAGCCGCCGCAACAUAAUAAUAAGAGUUCGAUGAUGAUAAUGAUGAUGAUGUUGCUGCUGCUGCUGUACCAGACACGUUGCCGGCGAAAAUUAUUACAUACAGACCAAAGAGAAAAAAAACAGAAAACGAGAAGAAUUCUAUAUAAACAUGAUGCGCGAUGCCACCAUAAAACGGACGAUAACCUGGUAGACUGAAAGACUGAGCAUGCGCCCCACGCUGCUGACCCACACGAACAGGAAGAGCACAAGGGAGGAGGCGGAUCCUCUUCUAUCAAUAACAAUAAGAAAUGACAAAAUCAAAAGUUUCAAAAGUUAAUCGGUUCGUUAAAACGUGUUUUAAAUCGAGAGUUAAGUGGGGUUUAUAAGUGUCGAUAAAUAUUUUUGUUAUCGGUUCGGUUAGGAUCAGUGCGCGUUAGAAAUCGAGUGCUUUAAGGGACUAGUAAUAUUAAUCUUUUGAAAAUACCCUGCAAGUCCGUCUGUUCUAUACUGUCGAUUGGACAGUUUUCUGAAAACUGAUCAACAAAGAUGAAUUAUCAAAAGGGCGUUAAAUUCAAAGGCAUUUUCAUUUGGGCAAUGUAAUUUCUAUCGGUUCGAAACUGCAGUGGGGGCCCUUUUUUCAGUAUUAAACUCUCUUAGUUGUUAUAAUAUUUCAAAUUGAUAAGUUGUCUAAUAUAUGUAUGUAUGUAGUUUAAACACAGUACAGUGGAAUUAUUGAUUAAUUUAUCAAAUAUUUCAUUCAUUUCAGUACAUAGGCUGAGUAGUAGUCCCUUAAUAGUUUUAAUUUGGUUAAAUGUUUAUGACAAAGUUCUCCGAAAAA